rnacentral:rRNA from 1 species
GUGGGGGAUAUUGCACAAUGGGGGGAACCCUGAUGCAGCGACGCCGCGUGAGGGAAGACGGCCUUCGGGUUGUAAACCUCUGUCGCAGGGGACGAAGGAGAUGACGGUACCCUGUGAGGAAGCCACGGCUAACUACGUGCCAGCAGCCGCGGUAAUACGUAGGUGGCGAGCGUUGUCCGGAAUUACUGGGUGUAAAGGGAGCGUAGGCGGGAUAUUAAGUUGAAUGUAUAAACUACCGGCUUAACCGAUAGAAGCGUUCAAAACUGAUAUUCUUGAGUGAAGUAGAGGCAGGCGGAAUUCCUAGUGUAGCGGUGAAAUGCGUAGAUAUUAGGAGGAACACCAGUGGCGAAGGCGGCCUGCUGGGCUUUAACUGACGCUGAGGCUCGAAAGCGUGGGUAGCAAACAGG